GGGAUUACCUCAGUAACGGCGAGUGAAGCGGUAAGAGCUCAAAUUUGAAAGCUGCCAACAGGUCGCAUUGUAAUUUGUAGAAGAUGCUUUGGGUGGAGGCCUAGUCUAAGUUCCUUGGAACAGGACGUCAUAGAGGGUGAGAAUCCCGUAUGUGAUUAGUGCCUUCCCCCGUGUAAAGCUCUUUCGACGAGUCGAGUUGUUUGGGAAUGCAGCUCAAAAUGGGUGGUAAAUUUCAUCUAAAGCUAAAUAUUGGCCAGAGACCGAUAGCGCACAAGUAGAGUGAUCGAAAGAUGAAAAGCACUUUGGAAAGAGAGUUAAACAGUACGUGAAAUUGUUGAAAGGGAAGCGCUUGCAAUCAGACUUGCAGGCGGUCGAUCAUCUGGGGUUCUCCCCAGUGCACUCSAUCGUCUUCAGGCCAGCAUCAGUUUUCGUGGUGGGAUAAAGGCUGUGAGAAUGUGGCUCUUCGGAGUGUUAUAGCUCACGGUGCAAUGCCGCCUACGGGGACUGAGGACCGCGCUUCGGCUAGGAUGCUGGCGUAAUGGUUGUAAGCGACCCGUCUUGAAACACGGACCAAGGAGUCUAACAUCUAUGCGAGUGUUUGGGUGUCAAACCCAUACGCGUAAUGAAAGUGAACGGAGGUGAGAACCCAUUAGGGCGCAUCAUCGACCGAUCCUGAUGUCUUCGGAUGGAUUUGAGUAAGAGCAUAGCUGUUGGGACCCGAAAGAUGGUGAACUAUGCGUGAAUAGGGUGAAGCCAGAGGAAACUCUGGUGGAGGCUCGCAGCGGUUCUGACGUGCAAAUCGAUCGUCAAAUUUGCGUAUAGGGGCG
rnacentral:rRNA from 1 species